rnacentral:pre_miRNA from 1 species
ACUGGGGGGAGGGGGUUCCUCUCAGCCCGGAUUGCAAGAGGGUGCAGGCCAGGCCGAGGGACCCCACCUGUGCACA